rnacentral:lncRNA from 1 species
GUUCUGCUCAAGUUUUCUGUUUCAUCAUAAUUCAGUCCUGGUGUUUUGUGUGUCUGCAGGAACUGAUCCAUGUUCACGGCUGCACACCUUCUCUUCCAUCGUCCAGACCCCUGCCCAGGGUCCGUUUGUCAGAAUUAAUGAGCCUGCACUGCCACAGGAAGCCCUACCAACAAUUCCAGUAAAAAUGCUACUGCUGUCCACAAUUCCACGUUCAUAAAGGACAACGCCGCCAGCCAAGCCCCAUGCCAGCCCCUUGGUCAACUCAUCGCCCC